ACGAACGCUGGCGGCGUGCCUAACACAUGCAAGUCGAACGAAGUAUAUUUUUCGGAAUAUACUUAGUGGCGGACGGGUGAGUAACGCGUGAACAAUCUGCCCUAUACAAAGGAAUAGCCUCGGGAAACCGGGAUUAAAACCAUAUAACACUUUUCAGUCGCAUGACUGAGAAGUCAAAUUGAUUAAGAGGUAUAGGAUGAGUUCGCGUCUGAUUAGCUAGUUGGUGAGGUAAUGGCUCACCAAGGCGACGAUCAGUAGCCGGCCUGAGAGGGUGAACGGCCACACUGGAACUGAGACACGGUCCAGACUCCUACGGGAGGCAGCAGUGGGGAAUAUUGCACAAUGGGCGAAAGCCUGAUGCAGCGACGCCGCGUGAGUGAAGAAGGUCUUCGGAUCGUAAAACUCUGUCCUUGGGGAAGAUAAUGACGGUACCCAAGGAGGAAGCCCCGGCUAACUACGU
rnacentral:rRNA from 1 species